UAAUGAGUGGAUAUGAUCUGCUUUCAAAUAUAUGCUCAGAGCUAAAAACUUCAUGAGAACUCAGCUAAAGACUUCAUGAAAACUCAUAAUUUUUCAACAACCAUAGAAGAUAUGCUCAGAGCUAAAGACUUCAUGAGAAUUUAGAGCCCUAACUACUGCACGACGUUGAGACAGGCAGAGCAUUCAGCGGGCGGAGGUGGCUCUGAAUGCACUCGCGAGCCGUGGUCCAUCGAAUUCAUUAGCGGCAAGGAUUUUGGAUGAGACAAGGGUGUACAAGAACCUACUGCAGGAUGGAGGGUUUGAUCUUUUUCAUGUUGGACAUGUUGAAGUAUGUAGCCUGUUGAUUUCUUAUCUUCAUCCAUCGGUAUUUUUUAAAUCCAUCUUUUUACUUCAUUUAUCCUCUGAUUGUAUAUGUUAGUCUUUGAUUUGUGUAUGUUUCACGCUAUGUUAAUGGUUAUGGUUCAAUUUUGGUAUUUUUUCACAAUUUUGUUAAUGGAUGUGCUAUCAAUUGUUACAAGAAAACAUCGACUUUAGGUUUUUUGUUUGUUUAAACUUAAUCUAUAAAGGAUGGUGAGGUUUGAUUGGUUUAGAUAAACCUGCACAAUUUGCCCUAAUCUUGGUUUAGAUAAACCUGCACAAUUUUCCCUAAUCUAAAUUCCUUUUUGAAGUAUCAUCAGGUUUGAUUGAUUCAAAUGCCCUAAUGGCUUCAUCAUCCUCACUUAGUUUAUUCUGUAAUUUUGUUUUAAUUUAGGACUUUGUAUUGUUGUUAGCGAUCAGACAUCUCAACUUGGUCUUGAAUUAUGUCUUUGUAGCAUCUCAGUUUUGUUUUAAGAGAGAUUCAUGAAUUUAUAUUUGUAUGUUUGAUUUAUAAUUGAGAAGUCAGGGUUUUAGCUAUACCUACUAUCUAGCCAAAAUACAAGAAGCAGUACUCCAGAUAAUGAGAUCAAAGUUGACUCCUACUUAUAUAAUUUGUGCUAACAAUAUUUUUAGAGUAACAAAGUGCGAGGACGCACUUGGUUUAGAGAUCAAAGUUGACUCCUACUUAUAUAUUUUUAGAGUAAGUUACAAGCUGUUCUAACAAUGUGUUUGAUUUAUAUAUGAAGUUAUUUCUACACUAUUUCUUUACAGACAGAUGAGCAGCCGAGGGGAAGACCUAAACAACCUAUGUAGGGAAUAUUGAAGACCUGCUUAACCAGCUACUUGAUUAAUAGGUAGUGCGUGAAUGCGGAGAUCGACGACUCAACUAAAAGUAUAAGCGCCACCUUCUUCAAGGAAGGCAUGAUCUCUUUCCUCCGAUUCCUUCUCCAAUUCCACUUUGUAGCUUCCAUGUAACAAUCGUAGUUCUCAGUUCAAAAUCUUUUAUUUCGAAAUCUUUAUAUUACUGGUUUAUAUGUUUAUCGUUUUAGGGCUUUUUACCAUCAAAGUAUUUUGAUUCAUCAGUAUAAAGAUCCCACCUACUGAAUUCACGGUGAAAUUUGAAGAAUAAGUGAUCCGAUUUGGAAACCAUGGGGGAUUACAACGAUCCGUUCAUGUUUAGAAACUAAGUUAUGAGGUGUGGAAUUAGGAGAAUCCGUAUUUAUACCAUACCAGCCAGAUUUCGUCACCUGAAAUAUGUUGCUUAGUGUUUACUUGCUCAUCAAAAGGUUUCCUUUUUAAUUCUUUUCAGUUGUUAUACCAUGGGUAUUUCAGUUUUGAAACAAGAGUCUAUGCUAUAUGAAAUAGUAUUUAAUACAGAUCAAAAGACUGAGGGGCCGAGAUGAUCCUGCAACUUAGGCAAAUGAAUUUGGCGAUAGCUGGAGAACCACAUGAGAUAUUUCUAAUAACUGGGAAACUUUUCAUCUUACAAAGAACUCAAAAAACGGUUGAAAAUCAUUAAACCACAUGCUGAUGAGAGUAACCUACAGGCAAAGACGUUGCGGAUCUCCGACAAAUAGUGCACGGUAGCUACUGGUAGUGAGUUGUCGAAGGAAGAAGUUGCUUUUGUGUGGUUGGAAUAGUAGGUUGAGAGGUUCAAUUCGUUAUUUUUGUUGACAAAGAGGAAACUAUGUUAUCGAGUUGAAGGUAUCAGAUUAAUUUUUGUGUUUUCAGUUC